rnacentral:piRNA from 1 species
CGCUAGUUGUGUGUCACUGCGUGUGCCCA